rnacentral:rRNA from 1 species
CGCGUGCACUGGUCCGGCCGGGCCUUUCCCUCUGCGGAACCCCAUGCCCUUCACUGGGUGUGGCGGGGAAACAGGACUUUUACUUUGAAAAAAUUAGAGUGCUCAAGGCAGGCCUAUGCUCGAAUACAUUAGCAUGGAAUAAUAGAAUAGGACGUGUGGUUCUAUUUUGUUGGUUUCUAGGACCGCCGUAAUGAUUAAUAGGGACAGUCGGGGGCAUCAGUAUUCAAUUGUCAGAGGUGAAAUUCUUGGAUUUAUUGAAGACUAACUACUGCGAAAGCAUUUGCCAAGGAUGUUUUCAUUAAUCAGGAACGAAAGUUAGGGGAUCGAAGACGAUCAGAUACCGUCGUAGUCUUAACCAUAAACUAUGCCGACUAGGGAUCGGACGAUGUUACAUUUUUGACGCGUUCGGCACCUUACGAGAAAUCAAAGUGCUUGGGCUCCAGGGGGAGUAUGGUCGCAAGGCUGAAACUUAAAGAAAUUGACGGAAGGGCACCACCAGGGGUGGAGCCUGCGGCUUAAUUUGACUCAACACGGGGAAACUCACCAGGUCCAGACACAAUGAGGAUUGACAGAUUGAGAGCUCUUUCUUGAUUUUGUGGGUGGUGGUGCAUGGCCGUUCUUAGUUGGUGGAGUGAUUUGUCUGCUUAAUUGCGAUAACGAACGAGACCUUAACCUGCUAAAUAGCCCGUAUUGCUUUGGGCAGUACGCUGGCUUCUUAGAGGGACUAUCGG